rnacentral:misc_RNA from 1 species
AACGCACCUUGCGCCCCUUGGUAUUCCGAGGGGCAUGCCUGUUUGAGUGUCAUUAAAUUCUCAACUCUGAUUUGAUUUGUUUCUAAUCGGAGCUUGGACUUGGAGCGUGCUGGCGUCUAGUCGGCUCCUCUCAAAUGCAUCAGCGGAAUCUAACCUUUGGUUUCCGGACGUCGGUGUGAUAAUAAAAAAGUUGCGCCGUCUUUCGACUUCAAAGUCCGCUUAUAAUGGUCUUCGGACGAACUCUUAUAUCAAAUUUGACCUCAAAUCAGGUAGGACUACCCGCUGAACUUAA